rnacentral:rRNA from 1 species
AGUGAACGCUGGCGGUAGGCCUAAUACAUGCAAGUCGAACGGCAGCACAGUAAGAUCUUGCUCUUACGGGUGGCGAGUGGCGGACGGGUGAGGAAUACAUCGCAAUCUACUUUUUCGGGGGGGAUAACGUAGGGAAGCUUACGCUAAUACCGCAUACGACCUACGGGUGAAUGCAGGGGAUCUUCGGACCUUGCGCGAUUGUAUGAGCCGAUGUCGGAUUAGCUAGUUGGCGGGGUAAAGGCCCACCAAGGCGACGAUCCGUAGCUGGCCUGAGAGGAUGAUCAGCCACACUGGAACUGAGACACGGUCCAGACUCCUACGGGAGGCAGCAGUGGGGAAUAUUCGACAAUGGGCGCAAGCCUGAUCGAGCAAUACCGCGUGAGUGAAGAAGGCCUUCGGGUUGUAAAGCCCUUUUAUUGGGAAAGAAAAGCAGCAGGAUUAUACACCGCUGUUCUGACGGUACCCAAAGAAUAAGCACCGGCUAACUUCGUG